AGUCGUAACAAGGUAUCCGUAGGUGAACCUGCGGAUGGAUCAUUACCAAAGUGUUCCAUCCUAAACCCUGUGAACUGUGAGUCUGGUGUCUUUGGGCAUCAUCCUUGAACACUUACAAGUCCUCACGGGCACGUUUGUGGCGGCAUGUUCAGCGCUACGGGAGUGCCGGCUGUACCCUACUAUGUAUAAUCAAGAAGAACUGAAGUACUUUGAACCUAAAGAUACAACUUUUAGCAAUGGAUCUCUAGGCUCUU
rnacentral:misc_RNA from 1 species